rnacentral:rRNA from 1 species
GAUGAACGCUAGCGGCGUGCAUGACCCAUGCAAGUCGAACGGGUGAGGGGCAAGACGGAAGGCUGGAGAUAGCGGAAGCGCGAAAGCGUGGAAGGGAAGGAAAGCCGGAAGGAAUACUCCGAGCCAGUGGCGGACGGGUGAGUAACACGUAGGUAAUCUGCCUUAAGGUGGGGAAUAGCUGUUCGAAAGGACAGAUAAUACCGCAUACGAUCGGAAGAUGAAAGGGCGCAAGCCCGCCUUAAGAUGAGCCUGCGGCCGAUUAGCUAGUUGGUGAGGUAACGGCCCACCAAGGCGAUGAUCGGUAGCUGGUCUGAGAGGACGAUCAGCCACACUGGAACUGACACACGGUCCAGACUCCUACGGGGGGCAGCAGGGAGGAAUAUUGCACAACGGGGGGAACCCAGGUGCAGCAACGCCGCGUGAGUGAAGAAGGCCUCGGUUGUAAACUACUUUCUUGUGGAGUGAGGAAGGACGAGUACCGACAGGAAUAAGUACUCGGCUAACUACGUG